rnacentral:rRNA from 1 species
GAUGAACGCUGAGAGAAGGCUUAACACAUGCAAGUCAACUUGAAUUUAGGUUUUUAACUUAGGUUUGGGUGGAGGACGCGUGAGUAACGCGUAAAGAACUUGCCUCACAGCUAGGGACAACAUGUGGAAACGAUUGCUAAUCCUUAAUAUUAUGAUCAAAGCUCCUCCUAUAAUUAUCACAGAUUGAAGCGCUGGGAGAGAGCUGUGCGUCCCAUUAUCUAUUUGGUGAGGAAACGGCGCGCCAAGGCGAUGAUGGGUAGCCGGCCUGUGAGGGUGAUCGGCCACAAGAGGAUUGAGUCACGGCCCUUACUCCUACGGGAGGCAGCAGUGGGGAAUAUCCAACACUGAACCAAGAGUCUGUGCCAGCAACUCUGUGUGCACGAGUAAGUUUUGCGGAAUGUAAAGUGCUGUCAGUUGGGAAGAAAGACAUGACGGUACCAUCAGAAGAAGUGACGGCUAAAUACGUC